GCGAACGGGUGAGUAACACGUGGGCAACCUGCCCCUGGCUCUGGGAUAACUCCAAGAAAUUGGGGCUAAUACCGGAUGUGACCGCUGACCGCAUGGUCUGGUGGUGGAAAGAUUUAUCGGCUGGGGAUGGGCCCGCGGCCUAUCAGCUUGUUGGUGGGGUGAUGGCCUACCAAGGCGACGACGGGUAGCCGGCCUGAGAGGGUGACCGGCCACACUGGGACUGAGACACGGCCCAGACUCCUACGGGAGGCAGCAGUGGGGAAUAUUGCGCAAUGGGCGGAAGCCUGACGCAGCGACGCCGCGUGGGGGAUGACGGCCUUCGGGUUGUAAACCUCUUUCAGCAGGGACGAAGCGGAAGUGACGGUACCUGCAGAAGAAGCACCGGCCAACUACGUGCCAGCAGCCGCGGUAAUACGUAGGGUGCAAGCGUUGUCCGGAAUUAUUGGGCGUAAAGAGCUCGUAGGCGGUCUGUCGCGUCGGCUGUGAAAACCUGAGGCUCAACCUCAGGCCUGCAGUCGAUACGGGCAAACUGGAGUGUUGCAGGGGAGACUGGAAUUCCUGGUGUAGCGGUGAAAUGCGCAGAUAUCAGGAGGAACACCGGUGGCGAAGGCGGGUCUCUGGGCAACAACUGACGCUGAGGA
rnacentral:rRNA from 1 species